rnacentral:rRNA from 1 species
GAUGAACGCUGGCGGCGUGCCUAAUACAUGCAAGUCGAGCGAACAGACGAGGAGCUUGCUCCUCUGACGUUAGCGGCGGACGGGUGAGUAACACGUGGAUAACCUACCUAUAAGACUGGGAUAACUUCGGGAAACCGGAGCUAAUACCGGAUAAUAUAUUGAACCGCAUGGUUCAAUAGUGAAAGACGGUUUUGCUGUCACUUAUAGAUGGAUCCGCGCCGCAUUAGCUAGUUGGUAAGGUAACGGCUUAUCAAGGCGACGAUGCGUAGCCGACCUGAGAGGGGGGACCCCCACCCUGGAACUGACACCCGUCCCAGCCCCCCAGGGGAGGCACAAGUAGUGAAUCUUCCGCAAUGGGGGAAAGCCUGACGGACCAACGCCGGCGGGGUGAAAAAGUUCUUCGGACCGAAAAACUUUUUUUUUAGGGAAAAACAAAUUUGUAAGUAACGUAGCCCGUCUUGAGGGUACCUAUACAAAAACCCGCGCUAAACUACGU